AAACUUUCAACAACGGAUCUCUUGGUUCUGGCAUCGAUGAAGAACGCAGCAAAAUGCGAUAAGUAAUGUGAAUUGCAGAAUUCAGUGAAUCAUCGAAUCUUUGAACGCACAUUGCGCCCGCCAGCAUUCUGGCGGGCAUGCCUGUUCGAGCGUCAUUU
rnacentral:rRNA from 9 species